GCCGGCUGAGCCAGGACCCAGGUGUCCUGGUAGCUGGCUAAGAAUCAGGCCCUUCCCUUUCUCCUGUUUGGCCCAGGGGCCUGGGUGGCACCGGGCUUGACUGAGCCACAUUCCUCAUCCACCAAGUCUGAUUCCUCUCCAAACACUUGGGGCUCUGCUCAUCCUGCCUCUUCCUCGGCUCUGGCCACCCUGCCAGGCCCCGCUGGUGCCCCCUCAUCCCCUGCAUCCCAACGCACAGUCCCAAGGGGUUCUAAACUGCUCAGCGGCCUGCACUGUCCACCUUCGCUCUGCUCAGAGGUGCGGGGCACAGCUGCCCUGCUGUGCCCAGAGCCGCACACCAGUAACAGAAAGAAUCGACGUGAUUGAAAGCACUCUGGGAUCCGUUCCACUUUUUUCGUGAGAUGCUGUUACAUAGACACGCAGAAGAUGUAGUGCCAACGUGGUGCACCCAAAGUCUCAGCCUGUGCUUCUUAAAAUCUCUGAAGGCCUCACUGAUCUUUGGAGUGUGGACAGUUCGCUUUACCCAACUGAGCUCUCAAAUUUCAAACCACGCGGCUCCUCGUUUGCGGCAGGGCAGAUGCAAACGGUCUUUUCAAAUCGGUUUGGAGGAAAAUAAAUGAGCCCACGCUGGGGCUUCAAUAAAUCUUUGCGUAGCUACAAGGGACCUGUCUCCAGGAGAUGAUCCAUGUGCCCACCUUCUGCCCAGCGGCUCAAGGACCCCCACUCCGGCUGCAGACGACUCUGGUCCCCCAAUGAGGACGAUCUCUCCCCGCCUCCCUGAUGGAUACUGGACAGUGCUGGCAGCAACAUGGCCUGGCUCAUGCAGUGUUGCCUCCUGACGGGUCUCCCUGUGCCAUUCACAUCCACCCGCCAAGCAGUGGCCGGCCAACGGAUGGCGGACUGACAACCUGUUAUCACCAGAAAUCAGAUCACUACUCUGCAGAGGAGCAAGUUUUGACAGACAGGCACAAUUCUGACCUCCUCAUGGAAGAAACAGAGUGCCUGGAGUAUGGGAGAAUGAAGGCUUAAGAGGAGAAGAGAGGAUGUCACAGGCUCCAGGGCAGCGCUGUCCAGCAGAAGCCCAGGUGACCACAAACGGGAGCCGCUGGUAUGAUGUCGAGUUUUCCUGCAACCAGUCAAAAAAAAAAAAAAAAAAAAAAAAAAAGGAAGAACAAAACUAAUAAAAGAAUUUAUUUUAUUUUAUUAAGAUUUUAUUUACUUAUUCAUGAGAGACACACAGAGGCAGAAACACAGGCAGAGGGAG
rnacentral:lncRNA from 1 species